AGUUUGAUCAUGGCUCAAAUGAACGCUGGCGGCAGGCCUAACACAUGCAAGUCGAACGGAGUUAUAUUGUAGCUUGCUAUGGUAUAACUUAGUGGCAGACGGGUGAGUAAUGUAUAGGAAUCUACCUAGUAGUACGGAAUAAUUGUUGGAAACGGCAACUAAUACCGUAUACGCCCUACGGGGGAAAAAUUUAUUGCUAUUAGAUGAGUCUAUAUUAGAUUAGCUAGUUGGUGGAGUAAUAGCCUACCAAGGCAAUGAUCUAUAGCUGAUCUGAUAGGAUGAUCAACCACACUGGAACUGAGAUACGGUCCAGACUCCUACGGGAGGCAGCAUUGGGGAAUAUUGGACAAUGGGCGAAAGCCUGAUCCAACCAUGCCGCAUGAGUGAAAAAGGCCUUUGGGUUGUAAAGCUCUUUUAAUGAGGAAAAAAAUGCCUGUGCUCUCAGAAGAGUUCCUGGCUAAAUCCAAGCCUUAUCCACGGUAAAACGGGGAGGGCUAGCGUUAUUCG
rnacentral:rRNA from 1 species